rnacentral:misc_RNA from 1 species
GAGCUCCUUCAGUAGGCUAGUUUCUUCGCUCUCAUCCACAGAAUUAUCAACCACGGUUGGCACAUAUUCAGGAACAUUUGCAGUUGUUGCUUUGGGUGAGUUAUCUAGGAAAACAGUUGGUUCUGCAUUCAGAUCCAUAAUCCCUGACUCAGUCGAAUUGGGGUUAGCAAAAAAAGCACCAGUAGGCUCUGCAUUCAGAUCCAUGAUCCCUGACUCAUUCUUACCACUGCUUUCAGGAUCACCUGGGAAACCAG